rnacentral:rRNA from 1 species
AGUGCAUGUGGUGGAUGCCUUGGCAGUCAGAGGCGAUGAAAGACGUGAUAGCCUGCGAAAAGCUCCGGGGAGGCGGCAAAUAUCCUUUGAUCCGGAGAUGUCUGAAUGGGGGAACCCACCUACUUUAAGGUAGGUAUUGCAACAUGAAUACAUAGUGUUGCAAGGCGAACGAGGGGAAGUGAAACAUCUCAGUACCCUUAGGAAAAGAAAUCAAUUGAGAUUCCCUCAGUAGCGGCGAGCGAACGGGGAUCAGCCCAUUAAGUUAUGUGUGUUUUAGUGGAACGCUCUGGGAAGUGCGAACGUAGAGGGUGAUAUUCCCGUACACGAAAGGGCACACAUAAUGAUGACGAGUAGGGCGAGGCACGUGAAACCUUGUCUGAAUAUGGGGGGACCAUCCUCCAAGGCUAAAUACUCCUGACUGACCGAUAGUGAACCAGUACCGUGAGGGAAAGGCGAAAAGAACCCCUGUGAGGGGAGUGAAAUAGAUCCUGAAACCGCAUGCAUACAAGCAGUGGGAGCACCUUCGUGGUGUGACUGCGUACCUUUUGUAUAAUGGGUCAGCGACUUAUAUUCAGUAGCGAGGUUAACCGUAUAGGGGAGCCGUAGAGAAAUCGAGUCUUAAUAGGGCGUUUAGUUGCUGGGUAUAGACCCGAAACCAGGCGAUCUAUCCAUGAGCAGGUUGAAGGUUGGGUAACACUAACUGGAGGACCGAACCCACUGUCGUUGAAAAGCCAGGGGAUGACUUGUGGAUAGGGGUGAAAGGCUAAUCAAGCCUGGUGAUAGCUGGUUCUCCCCGAAAGCUAUUUAGGUAGCGCCUCGGACGAAUACCAUAGGGGGUAGAGCACUGUUUCGGCUAGGGGGUCAUCCCGACUUACCAAACCGAUGCAAACUCCGAAUACCUAUGAGUACUAUCCGGGAGACAGACUGCGGGUGCUAACGUCCGUAGUCAAGAGGAAAACAAUCCAGACCGCCAGCUAAGGCCCCAAAAUCAUAGUUAAGUGGGAAACGAUGUGGGAAGGCAUAGACAGCUAGGAGGUUGGCUUAGAAGCAGCCACCCUUUAAAGAAAGCGUAAUAGCUCACUAGUCGAGUCGGCCUGCGCGGAAGAUGUAACGGGGCUAAAACUAUGUGCCGAAGCUGCGGAUGUAUACUUUGUAUACGUGGUAGGGGAGCGUUCUGUAAGCCGAUGAAGGUGUGUUGAGAAGCAUGCUGGAGGUAUCAGAAGUGCGAAUGCUGACGUGAGUAACGACAAAACGGGUGAAAAACCCGUUCGCCGAAAGACCAAGGGUUCCAGUCCAACGUUAAUCGGGGCUGGGUGAGUCGACCCCUAAGGCGAGGCCGAAAGGCGUAGUCGAUGGGAAAAUGGUUAAUAUUCCAUUACUUCUGUGUAAUGCGAUGAGAGGACGGAGAAGGCUAAAUCAGCCUGGCGUUGGUUGUCCAGGUGAAAGGAUGUAGGCAUGUAUCUUAGGCAAAUCCGGGGUACUCUAUGCUGAGAUCUGAUAGCAAGCUGUACUUGUACAGCGAAGUGGUUGAUGCCAUGCUUCCAGGAAAAGUCUCUAAGCUUCAGUUACACAGGAAUCGUACCCGAAACCGACACAGGUGGUCAGGUCGAGUAGACCAAGGCGCUUGAGAGAACUCUGCUGAAGGAACUAGGCAAAAUGGUACCGUAACUUCGGGAGAAGGUACGCUGUUGUUGGUGAUGGAACUCGCUUCCUGAGCUGACGACAGCCGCAGAAACCAGGCCGCUGCAACUGUUUAUUAAAAACAUAGCACUCUGCAAACACGAAAGUGGACGUAUAGGGUGUGAUGCCUGCCCGGUGCUGGAAGGUUAAUUGAUGGGGUUAGCGUAAGCGAAGCUCUUGAUCGAAGCCCCAGUAAACGGCGGCCGUAACUAUAACGGUCCUAAGGUAGCGAAAUUCCUUGUCGGGUAAGUUCCGACCUGCACGAAUGGCAUAAUGAUGGCGGCGCUGUCUCCAGCAGAGGCUCAGUGAAAUCGAAAUCGCUGUGAAGAUGCAGUGUACCCGCGGCUAGACGGAAAGACCCCGUGAACCUUUACUGCAGCUUGACACUGAACUUUGACCUUACUUGUGUAGGAUAGGUGGGAGGCUUUGAAGCUGGAACGCUAGUUCCAGUGGAGCCGUCCUUGAAAUACCACCCUGGUAAUGUUGAGGUUCUAACUCUGUCCCGUGAUCCGGGACGAGGACCGUGUCUGGUGGGUAGUUUGACUGGGGCGGUCUCCUCCUAAAGAGUAACGGAGGAGUACGAAGGUGCGCUCAGCGUGGUCGGAAAUCACGCGUAGAGUAUAAAGGCAAAAGCGCGCUUAACUGCGAGACCCACAAGUCGAGCAGGUACGAAAGUAGGUCUUAGUGAUCCGGUGGUUCUGUAUGGAAGGGCCAUCGCUCAACGGAUAAAAGGUACUCUGGGGAUAACAGGCUGAUACCGCCCAAGAGUUCAUAUCGACGGCGGUGUUUGGCACCUCGAUGUCGGCUCAUCUCAUCCUGGGGCUGAAGCAGGUCCCAAGG